UUCUUUCCAGCUUGCGCAUGCGCUGCUGCACGCGCAACCUUCAUGCGGUCUCGAAAUUUGGGCUGCGCGCGGACGGGGCGUGCGGCCGGUGUUACGAGAUUUUCGGUUUCUGAGAUUUUCGGUUUCCGAAGGUGGAGUUUCCUAGACAUGCACGAUUGCACGUGCAACUGAGAAUUUUAGUUCACAUUGCAUCUCAAGACAUUAGUGGAUUAUUCCAUAAAGAAACAUCAUCACCACCACCAUCAUCAUCUACUUCUUCUUCUUCAUCAGUCAAAACUUCACCAAGCACAGUUGUUUCCAGUACUUCUACAUCACUGGCGUCUCCAAACACAUCAGCAGGCUCUUCUCUGAUCAUCCCUCUGGUUCUGUUUUUUCUGGUUCUGAUCAUAGCUGGACUCUUAUUACUGUUUUUCUGUAAGAAGUGUCAGUCUCAAGGUGGUGAUUCGUCAUCUCAGACUGGACCAAGAAAACAUGAAGUGGUUUCUCACACUGGUUGUGAUUAUGAGGAGAUUAAAGACGCUCACAAACAAUUACCCACAAACCCCUCCGAUUCUUCUGACACUGUUUAUUCCACUGCCAAAUUACCCACAAACCCCUCUGAUUCUAACUGCGUUUACGCUACAGUUCAGAAAGCCACUGGUGACUCUCAGUGCUGCAUCACAUCUGCUGAGGAUCUGAAUUACGCAGUGGUGAAUUUCCACAAGAAAUCUUACUGUCCUGACAGUGUCAGUAGCAGGAAUAAUCAGGAUUACAGUGAAUACGCUGCUGUCAAUCAUUUCACUGCUUGACCAACAACAGCAGAGAAUAUAAAUGAGCUGAAUGAUUUAUCACCUUGUCUUUAGCAUUAAGUUUGCGUGUUUGGUGUUUUUUGUAAGUCUUCAGUGAUGCUCCUUUUCCUUAUAUUUUAGUCAGUUUUGUGAAUCAGACUUUUGACUGUUGGCAUGAAGUCUGAUGAAUGUUUAAAUUACAGCGCAGUGUUUUGUUCUGCAGACGACAAUGAAAGAAAUGAUCAGAAGCUUUUGGUCAGAGUUUGAUAUAAAUAAGUACUGAAUGUUUCAGACAAAAGUGUAAAAUUAAAGCAGAAUAUACAGCUGUGCUCUAAUUUAUAAAGCUAACAAACUUUAGCACAUUCAGCAACUGUUGUGUUUUUCUCUCAGUUCUCAUUUUAACAGAUAACUUAACCUGAUAACUUAAAAAAAAACCCAGAUGAGGUUGUGAUAUUGUUUGCAAAUGUAAUAUGCAUGAAUUAUGGAAAGCUGAAAUGCACAUAAAAGCACAAUGUCUGAGCUUUAUGAGUGUCCGUUGUGAAGCCUGAGGUCUUUUUAGCUUUUGCUCUAAAAAUGUUUAUUCCAGAAAAUUGACUCCCCACUGAUGUAACUGUAAUGUAACAGAGACUCGUUAGAGCUCAGGUUGUUAUUAUGCCUCUCCCUCUUUCUCAUUUGGGGUUCAGUAGAUUUAGUUUAACGCUCUGAUAUUUUUACUAAAGGUAAAGGGGGAGUGGAACAUCUCAAUAUUUAAGCCCUUUCUCUAGCUGAAGAUGCUGCAUGUGGUGUCGUCAGUGGGGCCUGAGUGCUAUAGUCACCACACCACAUGUGCUGAACAAACAAGUCAGAUCCAUGGAGGCUCCACCUCACAACUUACAGGACUUACAGGAACUUACAGGACUUUAUGGAUCCGGUGACACAUGUGCAUUCAUUGACUUGAAGAAGUCUUACUUGGUUGGUUGUGAUCAUAUGCUUUCCAUCUCCAAGAGAAGAAUAUGCUGGAAGGAACACCAUCCUGAAAUGAUGCUCAAACCACUCUUGUACUGGAGCUGAAUGGUGAAAGUGGAAAUUGUCCCACAACUACACAAUUUCGCUCAGUUUGCUCCUGAUCACUCUGUGGAAAGUUGAUUUCAUUGAGGGAGUUUAAACAAUUUAGAAGCCUUUCUGUGUUUUGCGACCCCAAGACAGCGUUGUGUGCCACACUAUCAGUGGAUUGGAGCACUUGUCGUCCAGGACAUUGACUGUGGCACAAUGUUUUUAUUGGGAUGAACUCUCUGUUGCAAUUGUUUUCACCUGAUAUAUUAAAGUUUUGGUUGGCUGUAUGAACUACUGUGAAAACAUUUGUAAAUUUUGAAUGUAGUAAACGUAGGUAAAGAUUUUGAGAAAGUUCCACAUGUAACACUUAU